ACUCCUGGGCUCAAGCAAUCCUCCCGCCUUGCCUCCCAAAGUGCUGUAAUUACAGGCAUGAACCCCAUGCCCAGCCUAUUUUUUAAUGCUUAAAAAAAUAUAUAUAUAAUGACCAGCAUGGUUUUCUUCAUGUUGCUGACAGAGGAGAGCAAAUCAGACUUCAAGGAGAAGCACUGACAGUUUGUGCUGAAGGAGACAGAGAGAGAACAAAAUGAAGGAAGGCUGUUGAACUUCUCAGACCCACAGGACCAGACCACAACACUAUUCAGCUUCGAAAGGGGGAAGAGAUGACUCCAAAGGGUCUCACUCUGUCACCCAGGCUGGAGUACUACAGUGGUGUGUUCACAGCUCACUGCAGAU